UACGUAGGGUGCGAGCGUUGUCCGGAAUUAUUGGGCGUAAAGGGCUCGUAGGCGGUUUGUCGCGUCGGGAGUGAAAACUCAGGGCUUAACCCUGAGCCUGCUUCCGAUACGGGCAGACUAGAGGUAUGCAGGGGAGAACGGAAUUCCUGGUGUAGCGGUGAAAUGCGCAGAUAUCAGGAAGAACACCGGUGGCGAAGGCGGUUCUCUGGGCAUUACCUGACGCUGAGGAGCGAAAGUGUGGGGAGCGAACAGG
rnacentral:rRNA from 1 species